UUACGGCCACAUCACGUUGAAACGCCGGUUCCCGAAUGGUCACUGAAGUUAAGCAACGUCGAGCCUAGUCAAUACCUAGAUUGGUGACCACUUGAGAAUACCAGGUGCU